UGGGGAAUAUUGGGCAAUGGGCGGAAGCCUGACCCAGCAACGCCGCGUGAAGGAAGAAGGCCCUCGGGUUGUAAACUUCUUUUCUAUAGGACGAAGAAGUGACGGUACUAUAGGAAUAAGCCACGGCUAACUACGUGCCAGCAGCCGCGGUAAUACGUAGGUGGCGAGCGUUAUCCGGAUUUACUGGGUGUAAAGGGCGUGUAGGCGGGAGAGCAAGUCAGAUGUGAAAACUACAGGCUUAACCUGUAGCCUGCAUUUGAAACUGUUCUUCUUGAGUGAUGGAGAGGCAGGCGGAAUUCCUAGUGUAGCGGUGAAAUGCGUAGAUAUUAGGAGGAACACCAGUGGCGAAGGCGGCCUGCUGGACAUUAACUGACGCUGAGGCGCGAAAGCGUGGGGAGCA
rnacentral:rRNA from 1 species